CUCUGUUUUCUCUCAAAACAAACACACAACAGGGAAUUCAGAAACGCAAGUCUCUUCCCACAAGGCGAUCACAGUCUGCUGGUAAGUUAGAGAUCUUUUCAGAACUGCUGAUCCCUGAUCCUCUUCCUCUCUAGGUCUGAGCUCCAAACAUUUAUUUGCCUACUUGAUAUCUGCACUUUUCCCUCUAAUCUAUUUCAUUCAGCAACAGACCUGUUCUUUUUCAAACAAAUUAGAUCACAUUACCUCUCUGGUUAAAAAUUCUUCAGCGGAAUCCUGUUGCUCUCAGAAUAAAAUCCAGAAUUUUCACCAUUACCCACAAGGCCUUGCUUGAUCUGGUUUUUGUCCUUCCAGGCUU
rnacentral:lncRNA from 10 species